UACGUAGGUGGCGAGCGUUGUCCGGAUUUAUUGGGUUUAAAGGGUGCGUAGGCGGUCAUGUAAGUCAGUGCUGAAAUAUCACAGCUUAACUGUGAGGGUGGCAUUGAUACUGUGUGACUUGAGUAAAGUCGAGGUAGGCGGAAUUGACGGUGUAGCGGUGAAAUGCUUAGAUAUCGUCAAGAACACCGAUAGUGAAGACAGCUUACUAGGCUUAAACUGACGCUGAGGCACGAAAGUGUGGGGAUCAAACAGGAUUAGAAACCCGAGUAGUCC
rnacentral:rRNA from 1 species